CCCUUAGAUGUUCUGGGCCGCACGCGUGCUACACUGAUGCAUUCAACGAGUCUAAAACCUGGUCUGAUAGGGCUGGGUAAUCUUUUGAAAGUGCAUCGUGAUUGGGAUAGAUGAUUGCAAUUCUUCAUCUUCAACGAGGAAUGCCUAGUAAACGCAAGUCAUCAGCUUGCAUUGAUUACAUCCCUGCCCUUUGUACACACCGCCCGUCGCUCCUACCGAUUGAAUGAUCCGAUGAAUACCAUGGAUUGAGAGUACGAAUAGGUUCGCUUAUUUCUGCUGCUCGAGAAGUGGAGUAAAUCUUAUCAUUUAGAGGAAGGAGAAGUCGUAACA
rnacentral:rRNA from 1 species